GCCGACCUUGAAAUACCACCCUUUAAUGUUUGAUGUUCUAACGUGGACCCGUGAUCCGGGUUGCGGACAGUGUCUGGUGGGUAGUUUGACUGGGGCGGUCUCCUCCUAAAGAGUAACGGAGGAGCACGAAGGUUGGCUAAUCCUGGUCGGACAUCAGGAGGUUAGUGCAAUGGCAUAAGCCAGCUUGACUGCGAGCGUGACGGCGCGAGCAGGUGCGAAAGCAGGUCAUAGUGAUCCGGUGGUUCUGAAUGGAAGGGCCAUCGCUCAACGGAUAAAAGGUACUCCGGGGAUAACAGGCUGAUACCGCCCAAGAGUUCAUAUCGACGGCGGUGUUUGGCACCUCGAUGUCGGCUCAUCACAUCCUGGGGCUGAAGUAGGUCCCAAGGGUAUGGCUGUUCGCCAUUUAAAGUGGUACGCGAGCUGGGUUUAGAACGUCGUGAGACAGUUCGGUCCCUAUCUGCCGUGGGCGCUGGAGAACUGAGGGGGGCUGCUCCUAGUACGAGAGGACCGGAGUGGACGCAUCACUGGUGUUCGGGUUGUCAUGCCAAUGGCACUGCCCGGUAGCUAAAUGCGGAAGAGAUAAGUGCUGAAAGCAUCUAAGCACGAAACUUGCCCCGAGAUGAGUUCUCCCUGAGACUUAGAGUCUCCUGAAGGAACGUUGAAGACGACGACGUUGAUAGGCCGGGUGUGUAAGCGCAGCGAUGCGUUGAGCUAACCGGUACUAAUGAACCGUGAGGCUUAACCUUACAACGCCGAAGCUGUU
rnacentral:rRNA from 2 species